AGUGUCAUUAUUGUAGGUGCAGCGUGAUUAUAACUGAACUGUGUAUUAGUUACCUGACUUAGCGUUGUUAUUUUGUUCUGUGAUCGUCAUAAUUACGGUGCAGUGGCGUAAAAUGUGAUGAGAAGAACCAGCAUGGUGAUGGAAUUGACGAGCACCCGCGGAGAGACGUAAUAUUCCUUGUCUGCUUCCCUCUGCGGCCGAGAGACCUCAGUUCCAAGUGCUCGCUAGGUCAGUGGUAACGUCAACGUGUGUCAUCUGUCAGAUUAAGGCAAGCCAAAAGCUCAAGCGUUGCUCAAGUCACAAAGGCUUUCACGUCCUGCAUGAACAAGAGGAUGAAUUGCACGGUGUGUGAGGGGCCUCGGCCUAAACCAUACAGAAGACCAUAAUAAUGUGAACACAGCUCUCGCCGGAAAGGUGACGAUCGGGGACUUAGUUGAAGUAGUAGUAGUAGUAGUAGCUGUUGUUGUAGUAGACCUGAUACCUUUUUCUUGAUCCUCUGCGUAACCCUAAUUUCUAACACGGUGCCCAGCCUACUGCACUCAUCUGUACCGUCUUGCUUACGUGCCCUGCACCUGCCACCCUUGCACCUUUGCCGCUGAAUGUUCUUGUGAGCACUUAUGUGUGGAACAGUGAUUGCCUCGACAUCAUUUCAUCCAUCCUUGUGGAGAGUACUCUUGUAUCGACUGAUAGUGAGUUCAGUCAUACGUAUUUCUUUUUCUUUUAUCUAAUCAUCCGUUUUCAAUCCUUUAUUCAUUGUUACCCUGAGUCUCUUUCUUCCUCAGAUUCUCGUGGACUAUUUCUCCGCACCGUGCAUUCCUUGAGCAGUCUUACACGCGCUGUACAUACACACACACACACACACACACACACACACACACACAUUAUCAUUACAUGUGAAGGAAAAGUCAGACCAUUUCUUGCGUAAGUCAAAAUGUAUUCAUUACAGAUGGGUGGGUUAAUUUGACAAUGAUUAAUUCAUGAAAUGUGUGCAUCAAUUGUGUUACAAAUUAGGCAGGGACAAUGGUCCUGAUCUGAGAAUGGCGUGAGGCGCGGGACACGGAGUGCGGGUGUGCGGGGUCGGGGCAGGGCGGCCGUCAGUGACUUAGGUCAGUUAUGCAAAUUGCCGGGGGAGGCAUAUCUUGCCGCCGGGACCGGUGAUGCAGGAUGCGGCGCCCGAACCCUGAGGGGCGUCCUGUGGAUAAAGAAAUAGAUUAAGUUAUUUGUUUGUUUGUUUGGUAUUUGUUGUUACUGUUGUCAGCAAGAGUAGUAGCGUAGGUUGGUGGUGUCAUUACAUUUUUUGUAGUAGUCACUUCCUUCGCUUGUGGAGUACAGAGCGUGUGGCUUUCAGCCGCGGGCGGGCAGUGACUGCAUGCCCACCGGCAAGUGUUGGCUGGCCGCCUCCACGUACAGGUGGAACGGACAGCACGCAGUGCAGGAGGAAGCAGUGACACGAGGAGACCUUUUUUUUUUUCUUUUUAUAUGUUCUCAUUUGUUUACGGGAAAAUGCAUCAAACCAUCAUUUCCACAUCUGCUUGAAACUUACCUGGCCAAAGAAGGCAUUAGCGUAGUGUUGGAACUGGACUUGGCCGGAUGGACCAAUCAAGCCAGGCGGUCCGAUAAUGCCGGAAGGUCCAACCAAGGUCGUGGGCAGCGCCGAACAGGCAAUAGCCAGACUAAGUACAACCUGCAAGAGUCACUCAAGCUUUACGUGAGGCGUGCAUGCUUGGCCAUCCCUGGCCACCUGCUGGCUGGGAUGACCACUUCAAAGUCUACCAAUAGACUUAAUACAUAGAUUUGUGAAGAUAUACCUAUCAAGUAAAUUGUCAUGAUGUGAAACAUUACGAAGAGAAUUUAGACUCCUAGUUACUGAAACCCGCUGGUGGUGGAGGUGCAUGACAGUGCUUCUAAUAACUCACCAGAACCUUCAUGAUGUGUGUUUGGGUGUGAGUGGACUCAAUUCCUGUACAUCUCUCCUCGUGUCACGGUCUUAUAUACCCCGUGGAGUGAUGUCACCCACCAUUAGGCAAUGAAAGCGUUUACCACAUAAAAAUCUCUUAUGUAUAGUUUUUAUCCUUGUAUUUGAGGGUCACCGUGCCUGGCGAGGCACGCCAAACACAAGGCGAGGAAGAAUGAGUGCGGCGAGCUGCCCGUUAACUGACAUCCAUCGCGGAGAGGGAGGAAGUGCGUGUCCGCCUCCUUCCUUCAUACAGCUUUACAAAUUUGUAAAGCAUUGUUAAUGUAAAUAUUAGUCCUAAACACCUUUCUUCU